rnacentral:rRNA from 1 species
AUUGAACGCUGGCGGCAGGCCUAACACAUGCAAGUCGAACGAGUGGCGGACGGGUGAGUAAUGUCUGGGCAACUGCCUGAUGGAGGGGGAUAACUACUGGAAACGGUAGCUACUACCGCAUACCAUCGGAUGUGCCCAGCUGGGAUUAGCUAGUCGGUGGGGUAACGGCUCACCUCGGCGACGAUCCCUAGCUGGUCUGAGAGGAUGACCAGCCACACUGGAACUGAGACACGGUCGAGACGCCUACGGGAGGCAGCAGUGGGGAAUAUUGCACAAUGGGCGCAAGCCUGAUGCAGCCAUGCCGCGUGUAUGAAGAAGGCCUUCGGGUUGUAAAGGACUUGCAGCGGGGAGGCGUUACCCGCAGAAGAAGCACCGGCUAACUCCGUGCCAGCAGCCGCGGUAAUUC